rnacentral:rRNA from 1 species
GCUUACGGCCAUAUCAGCCUGGGUACGCCCGAUCUCGUCUGAUCUCGGAAGCUAAGCAGGUUCGGGCCUGGUUAGUACUUGGAUGGGAGACCGCCUGGGAAUACCAGGUGCUGUAAGCA